rnacentral:rRNA from 1 species
GGACUACACGGGUUUCUAAUCCUGUUUGCUACCCACGCUUUCGCGUCUCAGCGUCAAUAUCGGUCCAGGCAGCCGCCUUCGCCACCGGUGUUCCUCCUGAUAUCUACGGAUUUCACUCCUACACCAGGAAUUCCACUACCCUCUCCCGUAUUCAAGUCUAUCAGUUUCCAAUGCACUUCCUGGGUUGAGCCCAGGGCUUUCACAUCAGACUUAAUAAACCGCCUACACGCGCUUUACGCCCAAUAAUUCCGAACAACGCUUGCACCCCCCGUAUUACCGCGGCUGCUGGCAC